UACGUAGGGUGCAAGCGUUAAUCGGAAUUACUGGGCGUAAAGCGUGCGCAGGCGGUUCGGCAAGCGAGGUGUGAACUCCCAGGGCUUAACCUUGGAACUGCACUUUUAACUACCGGGCUAGAGUACGUCAGAGGGGGGUAGAAUUCCACGUGUAGCAGUGAAAUGCGUAGAGAUGUGGAGGAAUACCGAUGGCGAAGGCAGCCCCCUGGGAUGAUACUGACGCUCAUGCACGAAAGCGUGGGGAGCAAACAGG
rnacentral:rRNA from 1 species